rnacentral:tRNA from 1 species
GCCCGUGUGGCUCAGUUGGUAGAGCAUGGUGUUUGCAACGCCAGGGUUGUGGGUUCGAUUCCCACAGGGGGCC